UAUGUUUUCUGUGUGUGUGUUUGCUUCUCCCUCUCUCCCUCCCCGGUCCUCGGGCUGUUUACGGAAGUGCGCGCCGUGGGAGAGGCGUGUCCUGGCGACUGUCGUCAAUGGGAGUCCCUCUUCGCUGUUGCCGGCCACCUGCAGCUGAUUACCUGACCAGCCGUUGGUAAUCAUUCCUCCCGGCUAGAAAGAGGUAUUUAACCUGGACUCGCGGCGACAGUCGACGUGGGAUUAUUACUCCGAACUGGAGGGGCAAGCGGAGAAGCGAGUUGGGGAGCACACACACUAAGGGAGUUACAACACGGAAUGCACUGGGAGCAAGGGACGAGCACGAUUGGAAAAUUGCACUUUUGAGUGAAUUGUUGGACUUGCCUGUCUGUUUCACUGUAAAUAAACGCACUGUGUUUCUAUGAAGAAGAA